ACAACUGUUGAAAUUGACUCAGUGCUAUUUAAGUCCACUGCUGGGGCAUCUUUCAGCCAAAACAUGCCGUGUAUGUGGGGAGAACCUCUUUGUUGAAAUUCAACACGCCAAUAGAUUUUGAUGACAAAGUUUUCUCCGAAAAUGCCCUCUGGACUCUUCAUCACUUUCAAAAUCUCUCGAUACCUAUAAUCAAAAUACCUAGCGCAAGUAACAGGAUCUGCCCUAAUAAGACGAGCUUUUUCGUCAUGUACUAAACCUAUUGCCUCUUCUUCGCUAAUUGUCUGCCUAUCUACGGUUUUCUUAAGCAAAACAAGCAAUUCUGGCCACCUCGUUUCAGCAGCAGACAGAGUGAUGAAAAAAGUCGGCAGGCCAAACUGACGAAUCAUGGCCAUAACCUUAUUCUUUUCAUCCUCCCAGUGAGCCGGAGAAGAGCGAAUAUCCCGAAGAACCCAAUAUCCUUCAUCGUGGUUUAUAAGACCCCCUAAUUCUCAUUAAGAGCGUUAGCUGCCGUUACUGCACUGGAAGUGCUCCGCUUACGUAAACAGAUUGAAAUAUGAAAAACAGUUUAUCAGUUCUACAACCUCUCCUAUCUACAUUUCGAGUCUCUGAUCUAACUAUGGUUGUAUAGCUUUCUGAGCAUGGUCUCUUGACGCCUGCAUAAAUGGUAGGAAACGAUAACUCUUCCGAGUCAAUAUCUAAAAUCAUAUCAAGUGGUCUUUGGCCUUCGCCUGGUGCUAUUGCUAGCACCAUGUUAUUUUGAAGAAGAGUUUCUUGACCUCCGGGGUUGAGCUGUUCAGCUUCCAAAUCCUCGCCAGGAUGGGCUGCCUCGGGGUAUACAUUCCUAUUUCUAUUCUGCAUCUCUUCUAAUAAGGCUGCGUCUGCCUGAGAUGAUAUAAAUUGAACAACAUCGGAUGUAAAACUUGACAUCCAUUGCUCGGUAACUACAACAUCAUGCUUUUUAUAAAGAUCUCUGGUAAUUAAGUGACGAAGGGCUUCCAAAAUUUUAGAGGUCUAAUGGCUUCAGCCAUGAAAUCAUGAUUAAAACACUGUCUACGUUUCAGGUGGAGCUGAACAACCU
rnacentral:lncRNA from 1 species